rnacentral:lncRNA from 1 species
UUCCUGAAUACACCAAGUUCUGCUAUAAAGAUUAUAUGGUAUUUUAUAUGGUAUUUUUUUAAUCAAGACCAACUAAUUUAUGUAAUGAAGAGAUAUAUGCCCACCUAGCCAGGUAUAUCUAAACUAAUUCAUAUGUAGUAUAGUAAACAUAGAAAUCUUUAGCCAAAAUUACAGUUAAUGAGCUUAAGUGUUGACUUAGUCUCAUUAAUUUCAUGAGUAAGGAGCUUAAGUUCCAUACACAUCAGAGUAUACAAGUGAAAAAGUGUUUACUUGGACAAUUUUUACUGUUUAAACUGUUUGGAAUCUAGUGGAUUAGGAACUUGCCUUGCUGGUUUCAGUUACAACGGACUAUUCAUUGCAUCAGAAAUUUUACUUGUUGUUAACCUUUAAAGAAAUUCAGACCUAGGAAAAUUUUCAAAAACCUUCAAGAAGGCAGAAAUAGAAGAAUGAGAAGGAUUGCCUUCAGUGGUGUUUUUAUCUUACUCUGCCUCUUGAGUGAUGUUGAAGGUAUGAUUUGUAGAUUAUGCAACCUCUCAAUGCCCUUCCAUGGAUGUCUUUUGGAUUUUGGAACCUGCAGAACAAAACCUGGUCAGUAUUGUAUGAAACAGACUUAUGCAAGAGGUAAGUCUUGACACUUAAAAAAAAUUAUUGAAAAUGAGAAUAGGAAAAAUCCCUACAUAAAAGCAAACAUUCACUGAACAUUUACUACACGCCAAAUGCUGUACUAAGGGCUUUACC